UAAGUCAGAUGUGAAAUCCCCGGGCUUAACCUGGGAACUGCAUCUGAUACUGUUAAGCUAGAGUAGGUGAGAGGGAAGUAGAAUUCCAGGUGUAGCGGUGAAAUGCGUAGAGAUCUGGAGGAAUACCGAUGGCGAAGGCAGCUUCCUGGCAUCAUACUGACACUGAGGCUCGAAAGCGUGGGUAGCAAACAGGAUUAGAUACCCUGGUAGUCCACGCCGUAAACGAUGUCUACUAGUCGUUGGGGAACUUGAUUCCUUAGUGACGCAGCUAACGCAAUAAGUAGACCGCCUGGGGAGUACGGCCGCAAGGUUAAAACUCAAAUGAAUUGACGGGGGCCCGCACAAGCGGUGGAGCAUGUGGUUUAAUUCGAUGCAACGCGAAGAACCUUACCUGGUCUUGACAUAUCUAGAAUCCUGCAGAGAUGCGGGAGUGCCUUCGGGAAUUAGAAUACAGGUGCUGCAUGGCUGUCGUCAGCUCGUGUCGUGAGAUGUUGGGUUAAGUCCCGCAACGAGCGCAACCCUUGUCCUUAGUUACCAGCGGGUUAAGCCGGGAACUCUAAGGAUACUGCCAGUGACAAACUGGAGGAAGGCGGGGACGACGUCAAGUCAUCAUGGCCCUUACGACCAGGGCUACACACGUGCUACAAUGGUAGGUACAGAGGGCAGCUACACAGCGAUGUGAUGCGAAUCUCAAAAAGCCUAUCGUAGUCCAGAUUGGAGUCUGCAACUCGACUCCAUGAAGUAGGAAUCGCUAGUAAUCGCGGAUCAGAAUGCCGCGGUGAAUACGUUCCCGGGCCUUGUACACACCGCCCGUCNCNCCAUGGGAGUUGAUUGCACCAGAAGUGGUUAGCCGAACC
rnacentral:rRNA from 1 species